CGCUAGCUACAGGCUUAACACAUGCAAGUCGAGGGGCAGCAUGGUCUUAGCUUGCUAAGGCCGAUGGCGACCGGCGCACGGGUGAGUAACACGUAUCCAACCUGCCGUCUACUCUUGGACAGCCUUCUGAAAGGAAGAUUAAUACAAGAUGGCAUCAUGAGUCCGCAUGUUCACAUGAUUAAAGGUAUUCCGGUAGACGAUGGGGAUGCGUUCCAUUAGAUAGUAGGCGGGGUAACGGCCCACCUAGUCUUCGAUGGAUAGGGGUUCUGAGAGGAAGGUCCCCCACAUUGGAACUGAGACACGGUCCAAACUCCUACGGGAGGCAGCAGUGAGGAAUAUUGGUCAAUGGGCGAGAGCCUGAACCAGCCAAGUAGCGUGAAGGAUGACUGCCCUAUGGGUUGUAAACUUCUUUUAUAAAGGAAUAAAGUCGGGUAUGGAUACCCGUUUGCAUGUACUUUAUGAAUAAGGAUCGGCUAACUCCGUGCCAGCAGCCGCGGUAAUACGGAGGAUCCGAGCGUUAUCCGGAUUUAUUGGGUUUAAAGGGAGCGUAGAUGGAUGUUUAAGUCAGUUGUGAAGGUUUGCGGCUCAACCGUAAAAUUGCAGUUGAUACUGGAUAUCUUGAGUGCAGUUGAGGCAGGCGGAAUUCGUGGUGUAGCGGUGAAAUGCUUAGAUAUCACGAAGAACUCCGAUUGCGAAGGCAGCCUGCUAAGCUGCAACUGACAUUGAGGCUCGAAAGUGUGGGUAUCAAACAGGAUUAGAUACCCUGGUAGUCCACACGGUAAACGAUGAGUACUCGCUGUUUGCGAUAUACUGCAAGCGGCCAAGCGAAAGCGUUAAGUAUUCCACCUGGGGAGUACGCCGGCAACGGUGAAACUCAAAGGAAUUGACGGGGGCCCGCACAAGCGGAGGAACAUGUGGUUUAAUUCGAUGAUACGCGAGGAACCUUACCCGGGCUUAAAUUGCAGAUGAAUUACGGUGAAAGCCGUAAGCCGCAAGGCAUCUGUGAAGGUGCUGCAUGGUUGUCGUCAGCUCGUGCCGUGAGGUGUCGGCUUAAGUGCCAUAACGAGCGCAACCCUUGUUGUCAGUUACUAACAGGUUCCGCUGAGGACUCUGACAAGACUGCCAUCGUAAGAUGUGAGGAAGGUGGGGAUGACGUCAAAUCAGCACGGCCCUUACGUCCGGGGCUACACACGUGUUACAAUGGGGGGUACAGAGGGCCGCUACCACGCGAGUGGAUGCCAAUCCCCAAAACCUCUCUCAGUUCGGACUGGAGUCUGCAACCCGACUCCACGAAGCUGGAUUCGCUAGUAAUCGCGCAUCAGCCACGGCGCGGUGAAUACGUUCCCGGGCCUUGUACACACCGCCCGUCAAGCCAUGGGAGCCGGGGGUACCUGAAGUGCGUAACCGCGAGGAGCGCCCUAGGGUAAAACUGGUGACUGGGG
rnacentral:rRNA from 1 species